rnacentral:rRNA from 1 species
GCAAGUCGAACGAGAAAAUACCUUCGGGUAUGAGUACAGUGGCGGACGGGUGAGUAACGCGUAGGAAUCUACCUAGUAGUGGGGGACAACUCGAGGAAACUCGAGCUAAUACCGCAUAAUAUCUACUGAUCAAAGUGGGGGAUCUUCGGACCUCACGCUACUAGAGGAGCCUGCGUUGGAUUAGCUUGUUGGUGAGGUAAAAGCUCACCAAGGCGACGAUCUAUAGCUGGUCUGAGAGGACGAUC